CCUUAGAGUUUGAUCCUGGCUCAGGACGAACGCUGGCGGCACGCUUAACACAUGCAAGUCGAACGAGAGAAGAGAAGCUUGCUUUUCUGAUCUAGUGGCGGACGGGUGAGUAACACGUGAGCAAUCUGCCUUUCAGAGGGGGAUACCGAUUGGAAACGAUCGUUAAUACCGCAUAACAUAAUUGAACCGCAUGAUUUGAUUAUCAAAGAUUUAUCGCUGAAAGAUGAGCUCGCGUCUGAUUAGCUAGUUGGUAAGGUAACGGCUUACCAAGGCGACGAUCAGUAGCCGGACUGAGAGGUUGAUCGGCCACAUUGGGACUGAGACACGGCCCAGACUCCUACGGGAGGCAGCAGUGGGGAAUAUUGCACAAUGGAGGAAACUCUGAUGCAGCGAUGCCGCGUGAGGGAAGAAGGUUUUAGGAUUGUAAACCUCUGUCUUCAGGGACGAAAAAAAGACGGUACCUGAGGAGGAAGCUCCGGCUAACUACGUGCCAGCAGCCGCGGUAAUACGUAGGGAGCGAGCGUUGUCCGGAAUUACUGGGUGUAAAGGGAGCGUAGGCGGGAUCGCAAGUCAGAUGUGAAAACUAUGGGCUUAACCCAUAAACUGCAUUUGAAACUGUGGUUCUUGAGUGAAGUAGAGGUAAGCGGAAUUCCUAGUGUAGCGGUGAAAUGCGUAGAUAUUAGGAGGAACAUCAGUGGCGAAGGCGGCUUACUGGGCUUUAACUGACGCUGAGGCUCGAAAGCGUGGGGAGCAAACAGGAUUAGAUACCCUGGUAGUCCACGCCGUAAACGAUGAUUACUAGGUGUCGGGGAGUUAAACUCUUCGGUGCCGCAGCAAACGCAAUAAGUAAUCCACCUGGGGAGUACGUUCGCAAGAAUGAAACUCAAAGGAAUUGACGG
rnacentral:rRNA from 1 species